AGCCUGAUGAGAGAGGAUGGGGAGAAGGAGCAGAACUCCAUCAACAAACCUCACAUCUGGAGGCACAGCAUGGCCCGGGAGCAUGAAUCUGCUCCUACCCUUCAGCAUGGGCAGAAAUUCAGGCAAUAAAGAGAAUAAUGAGGUCAUUUUGACCCUCCAAAAAGUCCCUGGAAGUCCAGAGUGGUAUGAGGAGAGCAGCAGGACCCAUCUGGAAAAUGUGUUGAAGGCCAUAAAACACCAUCCUUCAAAUUUGAAAGGUUAGACUGAAUUAUUCAGCAAUCUUUUCAUUAUUUGCAGGGGUUAAUUAUGGGAUUAAAUUGGUGCAUCCUCCACAGUGUUGGGUGAUGCCUCCAAUGAGACAACAC
rnacentral:lncRNA from 1 species